AUAUUUCUUUUAAUUUAACUGAUUAACUGUUUUUUGACCAUUUCAUAUUUACAUAUAUGUAUAUAUAUGAGGAUACCUAAAACAUAUUCUGACUACUCUUUCUCUUAGUAGAUUUUUGUUGACUUAAUUUAGUCAGAAAGAUAGAGAAGUUAUUUUCUUUUCUUUUUUUCUUUUUUUUGGUCCCCAAAGCACUCUUUACAUAUUAGAAACUGGAUUCAGUCUCAGUAACUGGAAAGAGCUGAGAAAUACCCAUUUCUUCUUAUUUGUGGCACCAAUGGGCAAAAUAAAGCUGUGCAACCCACUAUCUGAACUAAGCAGCAUUUGAAGGGAGAAGUAGGUCAAUACAAGGCAGAAGUGACAGUAUCAUACCAGCUCUCAAGCAGUUCCUCCCAUUUUCCUCACUCUGGGACCACACUACCCUCUCCUAAGAUUGGGAGGUGAAGCUUGGAGGCAAAUGCUUUUCAGUGAUGGAAGAGAAGGAAAAAGUGAUUACAUCACUCUCUUCAUGUGGUGGCUGUUAUAAUAUCAUCAAACUGUCAUCUCUAAGAGCAAAGUGCUGUGGAUAGCCUGCUCUCUGCUGAAUCUUCAAAGCCAACUAAGUGAUUUAUAUGCACCUUCUGAUUUGGGACACUCUGAAUGAAUGAACCUGUCAAUUGGUCAUGAUGACAACUCACACAUCAAAGGACAGUAUGAAGGAAAAGCCACAUAGGUACAGGAGAAGAUUGAAUCUACAACUCCAAAAAUAACAUCAGAACAUGACGAUGCUGUCACUUAGACUUCCAGUCUCUAGAAUGGUGAGAAAUGGAGGUUUGUUUGUUUAUAAGGACGUAUGCCUGAAGUACACUUGCGAGAGGAGCCAGAUGUUUGCCUUCCACCUCUUUAGGAAGGAAACCAGGUUGUGAUGAAAUGAAAGGACACAGACUUUAUGGCAGAUUAUCUUUGAUGGCCCUGGAUGGUCCUUACCUUCUCUUCAGCUUUCUUUUUUGUUUCUGCAUCCAUCCAG